rnacentral:ncRNA from 2 species
GUUUAUUCUCAGGGCGGGGCGAAAUUCCCCACCGGCGGUAAAUCAGCUCUUUGCUGAAAGCCCGCGAGCGCUCCGCUGUCAUGGCGGAGGUCAGCAGACUCGGUGUAAUUCCGGGGCCGACGGUUAGAGUCCGGAUGGGAGAGGAUAGCG